rnacentral:rRNA from 1 species
CAAUAGCGUAUAUUAAAGUUGUUGCAGUUAAAAAGCUCGUAGUUGGAUUUCUGGUUGAAGCGACCGGUCGGGCGUUGAUUCGUCUGCACUGGAGUCGGUUUUGGCCAUCCUCUAGGAAAGUGCGUCUGGUAUUAAGUUAUCGGGCGUAUGAUCCUGGUCUUUUACUGUGAAAAAAUUAGAGUGUUUAAAGCAGGCCUUCGCCUUGAAUACAUUAGCAUGGAAUAAUAAGAUAGGACUUUGGUCUAUUUUGUUGGUUUGCAGACCGAAGUAAUGAUCAAUAGGGAUAGUUGGGGGUAUUUAUAUUCCGAUGUCAGAGGUGAAAUUCUUAGAUUUUCGGAAGAUAAACUUAUGCGAAAGCAUUUACCAAGGAUGUUUUCAUUAA